GUCGGAUCUCGUGCCGUGCAGGUCGUCUGGGAAGUUUUUGUGGUUCAUGUUCGGUCGCAAAAGAGCACGCUACGAACCGCGUGGUUAUCAAUCGAAGUUUCUCAUGUGCUUUGUUCAGUGUUACUCAAUGUUGCCACUCGUCACCGUUGCCUGAACAUUUCAUCGGAGGUUUCAAGAAACGAAGAACGGUGGAUUGGAAUACUUGGAUGAGCUGUGCAACGUGACAGACAGGAGUAUCGUCGGAUAAGAAGACUACCGAUUCCCGACCUGCUCUGAUAUUAUACCUAACUUUCGUUACCAAUCGUUGGACAGUACAGGAUGAAAACUGAACUCUCUGGAUUUGGAUUACGUAAGAUUUCACGAGGAUCGAGUGUAACUAUGGAAUGUAUAUUGAAAUAUGCGUGCAACAGCAAUUCGAAGAGUCAGAAAUCGUGAAAUAUGAAGGAGCGAGAGGUAUGGAAUAACUUGGAAUUGGGAGACAAAAGCGGAAUAUGAAACGAGGACGGACGAUAUAGACGCGGAAAGGUGAAAUCUAUCGAGUUCCGGAGUUAUUUCGUUAUUUCCGUUGGUGGAGCUUUCGAAGUGGACCGGCAGGAAGUUUAUGGGAUUACUUUUUGAAUGGCGCCAUCGGGCACCGUGGAGUGGGGCGGUGAAAACGAGAUUCACGUGACGACUGGAUAUGCGAGAUUAUUUCAUUUCAUCCUAUAACAGACCAUUCUGCCGUUUAAAUCUAUCGAUGCUGCUUAAGGUCCAUCUUGCUUUACGCUCUUAUUCUGUUUUUCUUCCAGCUCGCGGAACAUCGAAAUUUAAAAUCCCUUUUCCAACUGUAUCACGAAUUAACUGUUUCUAAUUUACUAAACUUUCUAACUUAACUGUUACAAAUUAAUAGACGAUCAAAAAAUUCUAAAAUGUCUGGGAUGUUGUAUAUACAUUGGUCAAUAAAAUUCUCAUUUCCGAAUAGUUUUAAUAAUUAUA
rnacentral:lncRNA from 1 species